UACGUAGGGUGCGAGCGUUAAUCGGAAUUACUGGGCGUAAAGCGUGCGCAGGCGGUUUUGUAAGUCAGAUGUGAAAUCCCCGGGCUUAACCUGGGAACUGCGUUUGAAACUACAAGGCUAGAGUGUGGCAGAGGGGGGUGGAAUUCCACGUGUAGCAGUGAAAUGCGUAGAGAUGCGGAGGAACACCGAUGGCGAAGGCAGCCCCCUGGGCUAACACUGACGCUCAGGCACGAAAGCGUGGGGAGCAAACAGG
rnacentral:rRNA from 1 species